UGGGGAAUAUUGGACAAUGGGGGCAACCCUGAUCCAGCCAUGCCGCGUGAGUGAUGAAGGCCUUAGGGUUGUAAAGCUCUUUCACCCGUGACGAUGAUGACGGUAACGGGAGAAGAAGCCCCGGCUAACUCCGUGCCAGCAGCCGCGGUAAUACGGAGGGAGCUAGCGUUGUUCGGAAUUACUGGGCGUAAAGCGCGCGUAGGCGGCCAUUCAAGUCAGGGGUGAAAUCCCGGGGCUCAACCCCGGAACUGCCCUUGAAACUAGGUGGCUAGAAUACUGGAGAGGUGAGUGGAAUUCCGAGUGUAGAGGUGAAAUUCGUAGAUAUUCGGAAGAACACCAGUGGCGAAGGCGACUCACUGGACAGUUAUUGACGCUGAGGUGCGAAAGCGUGGGGAGCAAACAGGAUUAGAUACCCGGGUAGUCC
rnacentral:rRNA from 1 species